rnacentral:rRNA from 1 species
UACAGAGGUCUCAAGCGUUGUUCGGAUUCAUUGGGCGUAAAGGGUGCGUAGGCGGCGCGGUAAGUCGGGUGUGAAAUCUCGGAGCUUAACUCCGAAACUGCAUUCGAUACUGCCGUGCUUGAGGACUGGAGAGGAGACUGGAAUUUACGGUGUAGCGGUGAAAUGCGCAGAUAUCAGGAGGAACACCGAUGGCGAAGGCAGGUCUCUGGGCCAUAACUGACGCUGAGAAGCAAGAAACGUG